AUAUGAAGGGUCUUUAAAAAAUACGUGUUUGCGGAAGGGGAAGAAGAUUCUGGAGGAGAAAUUGAUAAGUUUGAAGUCAAGCUUUCUAGAAGAAAGAAUUGGAUCACAGAAAUUGAUGUUUCUCAUUCAGAUGGCUUUGUCUGGGUGUCAAUUGACUGAAUGGAAUAAGCAGUCUUCUGCAAAGGAGGUCAUGCACAGGACUCAAAAGAGACAUGUAUGUUCAUUAAAGAAACAAUCAAGCACAUACUCCACUACUGCACGCACAGGUUCACAUGUAAGGCUUUGACCCACAGCCACUGGGUGGCGCCGGUCCAUCAGCAGCGCCGAGCUCAAAGGUCCUCUGUUUUUAUGUUUAUUGUCAUCAUAUAUCAUUUAAGUAUUUGUGUUUGAGUCUCAUGAUCAUAUGUUUUCUCCAAACCAGGCAGUUAAAAGAUGUGAGUUGAAGUAUGAUCAUGAACGUAUAUGACUUGAUAGAUUUUGGUAAUAAGUUAAUUUGGAUGGCUGACACCUUCCUUCUUUUGGCACACUUCUGAAUGAUUUUAAUUUGUAACUGAUGGAGGUAGGCCAAUGAAGUCAAGAAUCUAACGUUUGUCACUUAGGAAGACCGCUAACGACUUUGACGAAGUUAUCAGGUAAUAAUUCUUUUCGCCAUGACAUGCGUUGGUGGAAGGAGGAGGAUUCUGCAUCAUCUUCUUUGCUUCAAGUUUUUUCUUUGGUUUGUUUCAGAGUCAAGGAAAACUUCAAAGUUGUGUCCCUCUAUUUAUUUUUAAGUCGUUGUACGAUUUAUUUUUUUAAUGUUAUGCAAAACUAUUCAUAAUAUUAAUAAAUUUAAAUAACUGAUAAAAUAAUUUAAUAGC